GCGCCUGUAGCUCAGCUAGCAGAGCAGUGGGACGGUACCCCACGAUCCUGGGUUCAUGUCCCGGCAUUCA